GCGGGUCAAAGCGGUUUGGUCAAACAGGGGCAGCCAUGGCGGACCACACUGGCAAAAGCUAUCUGAUUCUGUGGAGACAGUUUUGGAUUCCUGAGUUCCUGCAUCUGUACGCAAGCCCCGUCGAUCCAGCUGUGAGUCUCCAUUCCACUCCAGCCCCCAGCCCAGUUCCUCAAGACCCUCCUCGUCGGAACACCUGACUCUCGCUUACCUGCCUGUCCACCCUCCAACACCGCCGACCCGAACACAGUGGAGCUAAUACACAGCGGAAACUAAAGAAUCUCAUCACUCCGUUUCUGACUCUCUGUCAACCUCAGCCACCGUGGAAAAGACUUAUUCUUCCCCAACAAUUCACCAGCCUUGUCAUCCGUAGGUCAGCUUCAGAACCUCUCUGCUCUAUUCACCAUUUCAUCCUUAGAGCCUCAAGAACCUCUCUACUCUCCUUCCUUAGUGGUAAUCCUGAUCCCUCCAGCAGAUCCAGUCCGGGCUCUGAUUAAUUUCAACCCGUGUUUUCUAAAACUGUUAAAACGCUGUUUUUGUCAUGGUGGUUGUGUCACCUCCAGAGUCACAGAAAUUACAGUAUGACAUUAUCUGAAAAAGUUAAGUAUGAAGAAACCAAAGUUGCAAGAAAUACAAAAUGGAAAAGGGGCAAAAUGAUCAUACAGCUCCAUCUACCAUUUUACUGGCAGGUUACAUCCUUUAAAAAUGAUAAAACAAAAUGUAACACUAAGGUUAUGAUACUUAGGUGCUUGGCUUUUGGGGGUUAUUUUGUGUCUGUUUUUUAUUUUCCCUAUAGUUUAUUAUGGUCUUGCUGUACUUUAGUAAACCUUUUCAGUAUUUUUUAUAAAAUGUUGCCUUAUCAGUUAAUUCCUUUAGGCUUAGUUUUUGUUCUUAUUGUGUUCUGUUCUAUUCGUUUUCUAGUUUAUUCCCCUUAGGUUAGUGUUUGUCUUUAACCCUUCAUGCUGCCCUUCCAUUCACCUCAGAACUCAAAACUGGGAUCUCUGAAUUGAUAACAUUCCAGUUUUCCACUUGUCUAAAAACAUGCUAUGGCCACUGUUAUAACAAUGACAAUGUUCUAUGUGGUAUGUGGCGCUUAUUAAACAGCGUUGAAACAUCUCGUCUUAUAAAAAUUAAAAAGUAGUAAGUGUAUGGCUGACUAAAUGUUACAUAAAUAAUAAAGAACCGCUAAAAAUGA